rnacentral:rRNA from 1 species
GACAGAGGUGCCAAGCGUUAGGCGGAAUCACUGGGCUUAAAGCGUGUGUAGGCGGAUCGUUAAGUACCUUGUGAAAUCCCCCCGGCUCAACGGGGAAUGGCUGGAUAUACUGGCGGGUCUUGAGCAGUUCAGGGGCAGAUGGAACAGACGGUGGAGCGGUGAAAUGCGUAGAUAUCGUCUGGAACGCCAAAGGUGAAGACAGUCUGCUGGGAACUUGCUGACGCUGAGACACGAAAGCCAGGGGAGCGAACGGG